UCUCACUAGUUGCAAUUGGGAAAAUUAAAUAUUUUCAAUAAUUAAAAUAAAAACCUAAGACUCCUUUAUCGAGCGUCGCGCUGCUAGUCACAACGCCACUUCACUUUUUGAAAAACUGAUGGCAAACUGAAAUAGAUUCACUGCUGCAGCGCCAUCUAGAAAAUCUAAGCUAAACCAACUGUUGGAAACUGUAGCAUAACAAUCGCAAUGCGAUUCUAAUAAUAUGCUAGAAUAAGUUUGAAUGUAUGUGUGCACACGUAUAGGAAAACUGUAAUAGCUGGUGCACGUUCGAUUGUUAAUUGGCCAAACAUUUUGUUAAUUGACAAACAUUUUGAUAAUUGACUUACAUAAAUUUAAUGAAACUUUCUGUCUGUCCGUCCGUCCGUCCAAAGAAGAAAUUCAAGGAGACAGGAAAAAAGUAUAUUAUGGUCGGACUGUCAAAGGCAUGACGUAAAGAUGAGCAUCUACUUAUAUUUCAUCGAGGAUAGCGUACCUGAGUCAACCGAGAGAGGUGACCAGACGAUAAACCUGAUUGCGGUAUACGUGGAUAAUAUGCUACAGGCAUGUUUAAGCCUAGGUGAGGUCGUGUGAGCCAAAGCAUAUAGUGAGUCUGCUCUAUGAGAUGGGCAUGUCCAACCACCGCACUGGCUAGCACCUUUGGAAGCUAACUUCCAAGUAAACUGUAAGAGAGAGUCGUGUAAGUGCUUUGAUAUCACAGAGUAUCAGUCUGUGAUUGGCUCGCAAAUGAUUAUUACGCUAUGCACACAGCCAGACAUCUUACAUUCAGUGGUCAGCGAACAUCUUGAAGAAGCAAAGCAAGUCCUGAGGUAUCUGCCCACCACAGCAGAUCUAUUGCUAGUCUAAGAGAAGACCGAAGAACAGAUUGCUGGCUAUGCAGAUGCAGAUUAGGAAGGAGACACUACUUUCACAGGAUAUGCCUUCAUGUGGGGAAGUUAGAGUUUUCCUUGGACCUCAAACAAAUAGACAUCGGUGGCGCUAAUCAGUACUGAGAUAGAAUAAAUGACGCUCGCCGAUGCUGAAAAGCAGGCGAUUUAUUUAAGUAAACUAGUAAGCGAAAUGAAAUCAUAUUUCAGCAAAAUCUUGUAAAGAACCAACUGUAUUAUGCGCGAAGCAAACAUCAUAUACGGAAUUGUUAUGAAAAUAGGUUAAUCGAAUUAUCCUAUUGUCCAUCAAGUAAAAUUAUUGGCGAUAUUUUAACCAAAAGUAAGCAUAUAAAAUUCAAUGCGUUACUCGGCUUAAUUUAAAUAUACGAAUUGAGAGAGAGUGUUGGUCAGGCUAUUAUUAGGGGCAACGCUAUCAGUUUUAGCUAUUGACAAGGAUAAUAAACACAGUCUCACUAUAACAACCAAACGUGUUUCUUUUCAUCCAAUCUUCAACAAAAAGCAUACUGUCACAAACAUUUUUUAUCACCAAAGGAUCAGAUUCAUCUUUGGAGCAACAAAAACUGGUGCUCCAUCUAGAUUUCUGGGCCAAGAAAAGAGAAAAACUGCUCGAAUCCAGAAAAUUUAGCCUUAUGCUGAGAGCUACGCCGUCCAAAGUAUCAGAAAUGGGGCAAGGAUCACCUCAUUCAAGCAAACUGGACAACUAAAAUGCCGGAAUCUCCAUGACGAAAGCUAUAUUGUCAGGAAAAUAAAAGACAAUCUUUGACUAAAUGCCCCAGAAUAAAGUGCUGAACUUACUAUUGCUAUGACAUGGAAGUUAAAAAUUCGACGCGUCAUAAAAGAAAAAUGGGUACAACGGCGUAAUUACUAUGAAAAGAUAAUUGUUAACUGAUUGUAGCCGAGAGUGGAGGUUAUUAUUCAUCACAGAUUACACCAAAGUGGCUUAGUAGGAUGACGUAAUAUUUCUUGAAGAAAGCAAGUCCAAAUUGUUCGGGAGUACUGUGACGACCAUGGUGCGCCGUAAAGUGCAUAUAGAGCUGAAAACACUAUAUUUGAGGCCAACCGUAAAACAAGAUAAAGACGCCGUCAUUAGAAAGCAGCAAGCCACGCGGUACCAAUUCCUUCCAGUGCCGCGUGUGCCCAGGAGCCCUCCGAACAGCGAACGAACAGCGUUUUCUGGACCUUUCAGAGGAGAAACGGAUGUGUGCGGUACUUAUACAUAAGUACUGCACGAACUGCUUGGCUCACGAGCACUCCGGGCAAUCUUGCCGCAACAAGGGACGUUGCAAAACGUGAGGCCAGGAUCACCACACGCUCCUGCAUCUCCAGGAAUCAGCAUGUCACUCCGCCCCCGACUCCUAAAGAGGCGGUCACAGCUCCACUGACGGCCUUGAUCCGCACACCAACAGGUCUCCACGCACACACGCGAUAUCUUAAUUUGCAAGGGGGGGGGGAGUAUGUUAAUGCCAAAUCCCAUUAACAGAGUGCUGUUAAUAACAUAACAUUGUGUGGUGCGGGAGGAGCAAUUCUUGUUAAUGGGAUCUGGCAUUAACAUACUUCAGUUCUCCUACUGCUUCGCUGUGCUUAGCGCUGUGUCGCUGUACUGCGACAAGGAAACUACAACCCGGUAUUUUUACUUAUCGGCAACGCCACCACUCCAACAUGGAUGAAUACACUAUUAUGUGUAUUUUUUUAAAAAGAUUGAAAAAUAUUACACGUGAGUUCAGAAAUGUGUAUUCAUUAUACUAAAUCAUUUCAAUAAAUGCUCAUUUGUUUAUUACAUGUCAAAAAUUUGUUGUCAGAUUCUGUAUUUAUGUAUUUGGUGCAAAAUAUCUCGAUAGUUCAGUUAGGUACUGUUAUAUAUGUUUGUUUUAGAAAUUGAUUUGUGUAAAUUAUGUAUCAAAUUAAAGAUUUAUUCUACAGGUUAA